UGUACCAUCUGCCGAAAUUUUGCUGAUUUAAAAUACCACGAGACUUUUAUUUUUUGAUUUGUCAUCAUCAAGCGAUGGAUUCGCAGCUAAACUGACUUUGAUUGAUCCGAAUCAAUUCGCGAAGUAGCGAGGCUCAUCUGGGUACAAUCAACAAUGCAUCAACUUGCUGCACUUGAGCAACUCCUGAGCUCUGAUUUCCAGCGCGCCGCCGUUGCUGGCCAGCGGCAACGCCAACCAAUAAAACAACGCUUCGCUUUGUCUCGGGGCGGCCACUCGUUCGUGUUGGAUAUUGGAUGGAAGGCUUAAAACGAACAACAAAUAGGGGAAUUUAUCCAUGAAAUCCGCCAUGACGCCACCAUCUAUAGCAGCGAUGGACAGCGCAGAGCAUGACAACGUUAUUCCUUGCCGCUGCUGCUUCCACCACUGCUGCUUCCGUUACUCCAGUCGCCUUCCAUGCGCCACACGCUGAACAGGUAGCUGAGCUUCUCGUGUGCCAGGAUGCCACUGCCGCUGAAUUGCAGCCCACUGCUGGCGGCACCCGAGUUGACCAGAUUUUUUUGCGUUUCCUCCAGCAGCGGAAGUUCGUUGUUCGAUAGAACCCGAUAGAGGAAGUCGAUAUAUCUGCGUGGGAGAAGAAUAGAAAAAAUACAGGUUAGUUUGAUUUUUAAUUAUAAAUUUUUGAUAAAUUAUCUGUACCAUGGAUAACAUUCGAAGCAGAGAAGUUAAAUUUCCAACAUAUGCCCAUCCAACUUUAGAGAAUUGAUAGCAAGUGAACAAAAUUAAAACAACCAACCACGUUAUGAAAUGUUUUCGUAACACCAGCAAAAACACACAGCUAAAAGUGAAAAAAAGCGACGAAAACACAAAUGCACAAU